rnacentral:rRNA from 1 species
UACGUAGGGUGCAAGCGUUAAUCGGAAUUACUGGGCGUAAAGCGUGCGCAGGCGGUUCGCUAAGACAGAUGUGAAAUCCCCGGGCUUAACCUGGGGACUGCAUUGGUGACUGGCAAGCUAGAGUGUGGCAGAGGGGGGUAGAAUUCCACGUGUAGCAGUGAAAUGCGUAGAUAUGCGGAGGAACACCGAUGGCGAAGGCAGCCCCCUGGGUCAAGACUGACGCUCAUGCACGAAAGCGUGGGGAGCAAACAGG